rnacentral:rRNA from 1 species
GUAGGGAAUAUUGCGCAAUGGGGGAAACCCUGACGCAGCGACGCCGCGUGAGUGAUGAAGGCCUUCGGGUCGUAAAGCUCUGUUGCAGGGGAAUAAAAAAAUGAAGGUACCCUGUGAGGAAGGAUCGGCUAACUUCGUGCCAGCAGCCGCGGUAAGACGAGGGAUCCUAGCGUUGCUCGGAAUCAUUGGGCGUAAAGAGGGCGUAGGUGGCUUGGUAAGUCAGGUGUGAAAGCACAGGGCUCAACCCUGGAAGUGCAUUUGAUACUGCUGAGCUUGAGUGUCGGAGAGGUUACCGGAAUACCUGGUGUAGUGGUGAAAUACGUAGAUAUCAGGUGGAACACCGGAGGCGAAGGCGGGUAACUGGACGAACACUGACACUGAGGCCCGAAAGCGUGGGGAUCAAACAGGAUUAGAAACCCGUGUAGUCC